AUGCAUGGUCCAACUUUAUGCUGUUCUAUGAUGUCUCCUCCAAUUAAAAAUGCACUCUUCUUCUCACGGCGUGAUUACAAAGGGAACGUCAUAGGCAAAAGGGAGGGCACAAGCAACAUAACAGUUGAAGGAAAUUUCAACUAUCAGAUAGCCUAUCAUGCCCUCUGCCAUAAAACCUUUUGUAGCCAGGGAGGGAGGGAGAUGGUGUAUAUUUACUUGUCCAAAAAAAGAGGGUACAGUAUAAUUUUUCGGUCUCAAGUGCUGCAGUGCCUGCUAUUGUUGCACUACCAUGUUACUGAUUUUUUUUUUAAAUUGUGA
rnacentral:rRNA from 1 species